GCGACCUCAACUCAAGCAAGAACACCUGCUGAAUUUAAGAAUAUAAUUAAGUGGAGGAAAAGAAAUUUACAAGGAUUCCCCUAGUAGUGGCGAGUGAACCGGGAAGACCCCAACAUGAAAAUCGGGUGGCACCAUCACCUGAAUUGUAGUCUAUAGAAGCAUCCUCAGCAGCAGACCUGGGCCAAGUCCCUCGGAAGGGAAUGCUUGAGAGGGUGACAACCUCCUCUAGCCGAGACCCUGCCACAUCACGAGGCAUUAUCGGUGAGUCAGGUUGUUUGGUAAUACAGUCCCAAUUGGGUGGUAAAUUCCAUCCAAGGCUAAAUACAGGCAAGAGACUAAUAGAGAACAAGUACCAUGACGCAAAGGUGAAAAGUACAUUGAAAAUACAGUUAAAGAGUGCUUGAAAUUGCCGAGAGGGAGGUGAAUGGAGGUUGUCAAUGCAUCUCGUUCAGAUGUGGAAUGGCUCAAGAUGGUCCACCACUUAACUUGAGGUGCAAACCAACACAAUUUGAUGCAUGUUCACAAGCAUGCGUGGGUUACUACUAGUUGGUUUUCCAUCGAUGUGUCGAGGAACGAAGCGUGCACCAUUUUGGCAGGCCAUGUGCACUUGCGCAGUCGUGGUGUUGAUUGGCGGGCUUUCCAUUUGACUUGUAUUGAAACACGGACCAAGGAGUCUAACAUGUGUGCAAGUCAGCGGGUUUGAAAACCUAUGAGGCACAAUGAAGCUGACAAGUGACAUCACCUCUCUGGGGGGGUGCAUCAUCGACCGACCUUGAGCUUAUGCGAAGGGUUUGAGUGUGAGCACACCUGUCGGGACACAAAAUAUUGUGAAUUAUGCUUGAGCAGGGCGAAGCCAGAGGGAACCCUAGUGGAGGCUUGUAGUGAUACUGACGUGAAAAUCGUUCGUCUGACUUGGGUAUAGGGGUGAAAGACUAAUCGAACAAUCUAGUAGCUAGUUUCCUUUGAAUUUUCCCUCAGGAUAGCUAGAGAUCAUGCACAAUUUUUAUCUGGUAAAGCAAAUGAUUAGAGGCAUUAGGGGCAUAAUGCCCUCAACCUAUUCUGAAACUUUAAAUAGGUAAGAGGGUGCAACUGCUCCAUUUAGUUGUGUCAUGGAAUUGAGAGCUCCAAGUGGGCCAUUUUUGGUAAGAAAAACUGGCAAUGCGGAUGAACUGGAAGAUGAGUUAUGGUGUUAAAUUGCACACUAACCUAGAUCCUACAAAGGGUGUUGGUUGACUAAAACAACAGGACAAUUGUCAUGGAAUUAGAAAUCCUCUAAGGAGUGUGUAACAACUCACCUGCCAAAUAAACUAGCCCUGAAAAUGGAUGGCGCUGAAGCACGCAACAUAUACUCUACCAUCGGAGCAAUUACAUAGAUUUGAUGAGAAGGAGGAUGUAGGGUUCAUUGAGAAACCAUGGGUGUGAGCUUGGGUGGAUCAGCCCCCGGUGUAGAUCUUAGUGGUAGUAGAAAAUAUUCAAAUAAUAAAUUUGAAUACUGAAGAGGGGAAAGGUUCCAUGUGAAAAACACUUGGACAUGGGUUAGUCAAUCCUAAGAUAUGGGGAAGCCUUGUAUCAAGGGUGCACUCUGCACAAGCAUAAAAAAGGAAUCAGGUUAGUAUUCUUGAACCAGGUCAUGGUGGUGGGCGGCAACGUUAGGAAAUCCAGAGAUAUUGUUGGGGGCCCUAGGAAGAGUUAUCUUUUCUUUUUGACAUCUUCCCCACCCUAGAAUUGGUUCACUCGGAGAUAGGGUCCAGGAACUAGAAGAUAACCACACGUCUUACAGUGUCCGGUGCACCCUCGAUAGCCCUUUAAAAUCUGGAGUCCCAAGUACUCAUAACUGCACCAGGUCUCCAAGGUGAACAACCUUUGGUCAAUAGAACAAUAUAGGUAAGGGAAGUCAGCAAAACAGAUCUGUAACUUCAAGAAAAGGAUUGGCUCUGAGGGCUAGGCCUAGGGGUUUGUGCCCUCAACUUGUGGGCUGUCAGCAAUCUUCCCGAGCUACUCUUGCAGCGAUGGCGGGUAGUCAUGUGCCAAUUGGGCUAUGGGCAUAGAAUGCCCCCUAUCGGGUUUUUCCCUAGGUAAAGAACAAUCGACUCAUAAUUGGUACGUACAAGGGGAAUCCAACUAUUUAAUUAAAAUAUAGAAUUGUGAUGGUCCCUACAGAUGUUGACGCAAUAUGAUUUCUACCCAGUGCUCUAAAUGUCAAAGUGAAGAAAUUCAACCAAGCUCAGGUAAAUGGUAGGAGUAACUAUGACUCUCUGAAGGUAGUGAAGUGCCUCGUCUUCUAAUUAGUUACACGCAUGAAUGGAUUAACGAUAUUCCCACUAUCCCUAUCUACUAUCUAGCGAAACCAUAACCAAGUUAACGGGCUUUGCAGAAUUAGCGGGGAAAGAAGACCCUGUUGAGCUUGACUCUAGUCCGACUUUGUGAAAUGAUUUGAGAGGGGUGGAAUAAGUGGGAGCCAUUUUCGGCGCAAGUGAAAUACCACUACUUUUAACAUUAUUUUACUUAUUCCAUGGGGUAGAGAUGGGGCACUGCCCCUAUUUUUCUCCUUAAGGCACGUUUCAGUGGGUCGAUCUAGAUGGAAGACAUUGUCAGGUGGGGAUUUUGGCUGGGGCAGCACAUCUGUUAAAAGAUAACGCAGGUGUCCUAAGAUGAGCUCAAUGAGAACAUAAAUAUCGUGUGAAACAAAAGGGUAAAAUCUCAUUUGAUUUUGAUUUUCAAUACAAAUAAAAAUUGUGAAAGAGUGGCCUAUCAAUCCUUUAGAUUUUUGGAAUUUGAAGUUAGAGGUGUCAGAAAAGUUACCACAGGGAUAACUGGCUUGUGGCCACCAAGCAUUCAUAGCAACAUUGCUUUUUUAUCCUUCGAUGUUGGUUCUUCCUAUCAUUGUGAAGCAGAAUUCACCAAGUAUUGGAUUGUUCAUCCACCAAUAGGGAACAUGAGUUGGGUUUAGACCAUCAUGAGAUAGCUUAUUUUUACCCUAGUGAUGAACUGCACCAUAAUAGUAAUUCAACUUAAUACGAGAGGAACCGUUGAUUCACACAAUUUGUCAUUGUGCUUGGUUAAAAAGCUAAUGGUGCGAAGCUACCAUGUGUCAGAUUAUGACUGAACGCCUCUAGGUUGGAAUCCACACUAGAAGUCGUGCAUGUCACUCUCCGAAUGUAUCCUGACACAUAGAUGGGAGUCCCUUUGUCACCUGUAGGGGCCCGUGUCAUCUGCAAUCUACAACCGUGAAGCAUCUUGUUCAAGGCAGCUUUGAAUUUCAAUUCUAAAUGGGCGUUCAGAAGAAUCCUUUGCAGACGACUUAAAUAUGUGAUGGGGUAUUGUCAGUGGCAGAGUGGCCUUGCUACCGUGAUCCACUGAGAUUUAGCCCUUUGUCGCCUCGAUUCAG
rnacentral:rRNA from 1 species